rnacentral:rRNA from 1 species
UUGAACGCUGGCGGCAGGCCUAACACAUGCAAGUCGAGCGGAUGAAGGGAGCUUGCUCCUGGAUUCAGCGGCGGACGGGUGAGUAAUGCCUAGGAAUCUGCCUGGUAGUGGGGGAUAACGUCCGGAAACGGGCGCUAAUACCGCAUACGUCCUGAGGGAGAAAGUGGGGGAUCUUCGGACCUCACGCUAUCAGAUGAGCCUAGGUCGGAUUAGCUAGUUGGUGGGGUAAAGGCCUACCAAGGCGACGAUCCGUAACUGGUCUGAGAGGAUGAUCAGUCACACUGGAACUGAGACACGGUCCAGACUCCUACGGGAGGCAGCAGUGGGGAAUAUUGGACAAUGGGCGAAAGCCUGAUCCAGCCAUGCCGCGUGUGUGAAGAAGGUCUUCGGAUUGUAAAGCACUUUAAGUUGGGAGGAAGGGCAGUAAGUUAAUACCUUGCUGUUCUGACGUUACCAACAGAAUAAGCACCGGCUAACUUCGU